AUUGAACGCUGGCGGCAGGCUUAACACAUGCAAGUCGAGCGGGGAAAUGUAGCUUGCUACAUUACCUAGCGGCGGACGGGUGAGUAAUGCUUAGGAAUCUGCCUAUUAGUGGGGGACAACAUUCCGAAAGGAACGCUAAUACCGCAUACGUCCUACGGGAGAAAGCAGGGGACCUUCGGGCCCUGCGCUAAUAGAUGAGGCUAAGUCGGAUUAGCUAGUUGGUGGGGUAAAGGCCUACCAAGGCGACGAUCUGUAGCGGGUCUGAGAGGAUGAUCCGCCACACUGGGACUGAGACACGGCCCAGACUCCUACGGGAGGCAGCAGUGGGGAAUAUUGGACAAUGGGGGGAACCCUGAUCCAGCCAUGCCGCGUGUGUGAAGAAGGCCUUUUGGUUGUAAAGCACUUUAAGCGAGGAGGAGGCUACUAGUAUUAAUACUACUGGUUAGUGGACGUUACUCGCAGAAUAAGCACCGGCUAACUCUGUGCCAGCCGCCGCCGUAAGAC
rnacentral:rRNA from 1 species